rnacentral:rRNA from 1 species
GUGCCGAAGCUGUGGGUGCAUACUAUGUAUGCGCGGUAGCGGAGCGUUCCGUAGGUCUGUGAAGGAAGCGGGGUGACCCCUUCUGGAGAUAUCGGAAGUGCGAAUGCUGACAUGAGUAGCGACAAACAGUGCGAGAAACACUGUCGCCGAAAGUCCAAGGGUUCCUGCGCAAGGUUAAUCCACGCAGGGUUAGUCGGCCCCUAAGGCGAGGGCGAAAGCCGUAGUCGAUGGGAAUCAGGUGAAUAUUCCUGAACCUGCCAGAAGUGACGAAUGCGAUAUGUUGUUGGUCCUUAACGGAUUGGACCGGCUUUUGGAGCAUUCCAGGAAAUAGCUCUGGCGUAUAGACCGUACCCUAAACCGACACAGGUGGACUGGUAGAGCAUACCAAGGCGCUUGAGAGAACGAUGCUGAAGGAACUAGGCAAAUUACUCGUGUAACUUCGGGAUAAGCGAGACCCACAUUUGGGCAACCAUUUGUGGGUGGCACAGACCAGGGGGUAGCGACUGUUUAGUAAAAACACAGGACUCUGCGAAGUCGAAAGACGACGUAUAG